rnacentral:lncRNA from 1 species
GGCUGAAGUGUGAGAUUUUUUUUUCAAUUUUUGCUGCUUCUUUGGGCUUAAUGUGUUACAAAAUAUAUCAAGACAGUCAAGAUAACACUAGCCAAGAAACGAUAAGGUGCUGCUUGGAUAUUGUUUAGUACUAUUUAAGUAUUAAGGAAGUAAUAGAGAAGUUUUGAGAUGAUGGCCAAUGUUUUUUUCAUGGUUUUGUUUGUCCUUUCAACAUGCUGGGGUAAGACGUCGAAGGUUACACUCAUAUUAUGCAAAGUCUAUAUUUUAGUUAUGAAUUUGUUAUCUUUAAAAAGAAAUGACAACUCAAUCAAUUUUAUUUCCACUUUGUAACACGAUAAAAUUUUAAGAAAUCCAAAGGGUCUACAUACUUUUGCAAGGCACUUUAUAUUGUUUUAUGUCCUGUGGAUUCGAGAAGAAAGAUGACAAGUUCAACAGGAAAGUGAGCCUGUCAGGUGAAUAUUCUCUGAACCAAACCAAACAUAGUGCGAAUGGAACCACUGGAACAACAGAUGGAAAAAAGCUUGAACUUCUUCGUUUUAUUCGACUGUCUAUCACGUGUCUGGGUUUGUCGAUCAUGCUCGUUCUCUCAUAUGCCAUCUUCACCCACCUUCACAAACUGAAGAUACACAGGACUAUGUCUCAACAGGAUGUGGUAGAACACCAGCCCGAGGUCUCUGGUAUGCGCGAGAAGAAAGUAGGCAGAGGGCACAGAAGCUACAAAGAGAAGAUCAACUCAAUCUACAUGUGCAUGCCUGACAAAUUACCAGCACAGGGAGCAGGACAUGACCUUUGACCUGGAAGUUCUCUAUCUGGAAGAUGAGCAUACACAUUCCCGCUGUGCUUUGGUCCAAUUCCUACACCGAACGUGACAGAACUACCCACCACCAACGGACCAAGCAGCGGGGUAAGGAGCAUGGUGAAGAAGAAUGGACAUGGGCAGAGAUGAGGAUGAGCAUAUCCAGGGCUAUGGAGGAUGUAAGGAAGACCGAGAGGCAUCCCCAAGAACAUUCUUUUGGGGGGGCACACGGGGAGUUGGGCAGAGUCAGGAUGGAGACCUGAGCCAACUCCCCGUGCUUAUUAUGGGGAGCAACGAAUGAGUGUCACCUCAGUCAUUCUUGCAACCAAAGUCCUUUGAGAUAUGUUCACCCUCUGGUUGGUAUUAUCUUCGGAACUAUUUAGUCCUUUUUAACAGACUAAGGGUGAUUUAUCUAGCGGACAAGCAUUCCAUACAACAUAAAUCAAGUAUUUCCUCAUUUACCACUGCAAAUCUACUGUGGCAAUUUACCAGACAUUUUGUAUGAAUGAAAACUUUUGGUGUAGCCUGUUAAUAUUUUUAUUUGUUUCCUAUUUAUGUUAGCCAUUAAAAUACUACUGUCUUUAAAAUAAAA